rfam:Camelus ferus unplaced genomic scaffold scaffold265, whole genome shotgun sequence.
GAGGGGAUAGCUUAGUGGUAGAGUGCCAUGCUUAGCAUGCACGAGGUCCUGGGUUCAAUCCCCAGUACCUCCA